AUUGAACGCUGGCGGCAUGCUUUACACAUGCAAGUCGGACGGCAGCACAGAGAAGCUUGCUUCUUGGGUGGCGAGUGGCGAACGGGUGAGUAAUAUAUCGGAACGUACCGAGCAGUGGGGGAUAACUAAUCGAAAGAUUAGCUAAUACCGCAUAUUUUCUGAGGAAGAAAGCAGGGGACCAUUUGGCCUUGCGCUGUUUGAGCGGCCGAUAUCUGAUUAGCUGGUUGGUGGGGUAAAGGCCUACCAAGGCGACGAUCAGUAGCGGGUCUGAGAGGAUGAUCCGCCACACUGGGACUGAGACACGGCCCAGACUCCUACGGGAGGCAGCAGUGGGGAAUUUUGGACAAUGGGCGCAAGCCUGAUCCAGCCAUGCCGCGUGUCUGAAGAAGGCCUUCGGGUUGUAAAGGACUUUUGUCAGGGAAGAAAAGGGCGGGGUUAAUACCCCUGUCUGAUGA
rnacentral:rRNA from 1 species